CUUAGUUUCCAAUAAAGAUGAUGGUCUAAAUACAGAACGUUUUUAGUAUAUUUCUUUAUUAUUGAAGUAAAACAUAAAAAUAUUAAAUACUCAAUAUUUAUCAUUGAUUCAAAAAUACGAAAAAUGUGUGUGCAGACAAUUUUUUCUAUGUAAAUACUGUGAUUCUGAUUGUAUAUGCAUCGCAAUGAUUAGUAUUUAUCGAAACAAUAGGAAUUCAGUAACUAUGACAAAUCAAACAAUGAAUAAUAAGAUUACGUUUAAUACUUUAAUAUCUUAUAUUAGUUUCUUCGUAUAAAAACGAAGUUAAAUAUUUUGUCGACGUUCAUUUCAAUUUUACAGUCAUAAUAACUGUAUUACUUUAAUAUUUUUAUAAGUAUCAAUACGAAAGAAGGAAACGUGAAAAAACUGAAGAAUAUGGAGGUAGAUGAUUGUUCAGCUGGUGGAGAUACUGGAGGAGAAGAAGAUGAAGAUGAAGCUUCUACUCAUGGAUCAGUAAGUAAUAGUAGUAGUAGUGGGAUGAGCGGCAGUAGUACUUCAACUGAUAGUGGAGAAGACAGUGGAGAAGAACGGGAUUCUAGUGAUACAGAUAGUCAUAGUUCUCCAGAUGAAGAUGACGAUGAAAAUGAAAAUACUGAAUAUUCAGUAAAAGCAGAAAGUUCAGAUGCUCUAAGGUGGGAAACUUGUGUGGCUGCGAAUAUUCGACUGAAACUUCCACAAGAUCUUUGCGAAGAUUCUGCUAUCUUCAAAGAGUUAUUAGAUUACCCAUAUUUUUGGAAUGAAUGCCUUAGUGAAAAUCAAAGAGAAUCUUUAUAUAGCUUCUUACCAAUUUUUCCAAAAGAUUGUGAUAUCGAAGCUGAAAUGGAAAGAACAUUGCAAAUGUUAUUUGAUAGAGAGGAUCAUAGAUUUGGAGUUGCAACACUGGAUGCAUUUCAUAAACACCUUUUAGCUGGUUAUUAUAGACCAGAUAUCAAACGAAUGCGCAGUUUGCUACAUAAAGCACAACAAAAAAGACUGUUGUUUGAAGAACGCAAAAGAUCAUACGAGCUUGCCAAUCAGUUACUUAAAUCACGAGAGAGUUUAUUAUCUAAUGCAUAUAAACAGGGUUUUAGCCAGCCUGUACAUCGAACAAUGUCUAAAUUUCAUUGGAAGAAACCAAAGCCAGCAAUGGUUGAAGAGAAAACCCAGCUACGCUAUUUGGAGGAACUGAGUAUCCUGAGGACUGAACUGGGAGCUAGUGCAAGGUUAGCACCUGACACAACAUCUGAAAAUGAAGAAAAUUAUUUAUAUUAUCAACUAUCUGGAACUAAACAAAAGAAGAAAAAGCGCUCCACCAUGAGUCUUCAAGGAUUAUCAAUUAGAGGGUUGCAGAUCAAUCAAGAAGAUGAAACAAUUCGGCCUGUAUUUUCGACGUUCCAACGAACAGAUUACGCAUCGAAUAGAUCGUUAUUUGUUCGUGAACAAACAGAAGAAGCAUAUCGUGCAAUGUUAAUAGCUCAUAAAAAGAGAAGAGCACAUCAUGAUAUUCAUCCUGAAUUAAAUACUCAGGGCAUUGCUCUUGCCGACUUAACUCAAAGAGCACAGACUGGCCAAAAGCACAAGCUUUCAAUUAAUACUUCUAUAAGAAUAACUCCUGCUAAGAAACGCAUUAAACUAGAACAGUCUACACUUUGUCCACCUGCACCAAAAUUAAUAAAUUCAAAUUCUACAAAACAUGAAAGUGAUAACAGUGACUAUUCUCAUACAACAGAUGAUAAUAGACAUUCUAAUGCAGUGGAUAUAGAUCACAAGCUGACGCCCAUAAAGUCUGAACCUAUAGAUGUAUAUGACAUACAUCAAGUAUCAAAGAAAAAAAUGAGCCCUGUUACUCCUAGGAGUAAUAAAUCUAUUCCAAGCACAUUAGAAAUUAAGAAAGAAGUAGAAGAAAUGGACUUUGAUGAUAUAAAAACGGAGAUUAAUACAGGCACAAAUGAUGAUGUUAUGCCAGAAACAGAGGAAGAUGAGGAAAAUGACAAAAAAGAACUUGAUUUAGGCAGUAUCGAUAUGAUGCAAAUACCAAUUCAACUUGAUGAUGGUAUUGAUAUUCUUGAUGAUGUGAAAUGUGAGAAUGAAAAUGUUAUGGCUAUGAGAGAUAAAGAAAUUUCUGUACCUAGUGCAGAAGAUACUAUUGAUGUUAAUAGUGGAGCAGAACUUAUGCAAGAAACUCAUGCAUCAUUUUUUUCUUUGCUGAGAGAUGCUUUCACUUCUAAAGGAGAAUUUAGAAUGAGUACUGGAGAAAUAAAGGACGCUAUUACACAAUGGCAAGGCAAUCCAAUUUCACCACUAAAUGACUGGUAUUCGUUAGCAUCUUCAUGGCCAUCGUUAGUUCCAUUAGCUUUGGGAUUUCUUGCUGGUGAAUUAACAUAUUCUCAGGAAUUGGAACAAUCACAGGAACGGGAACAAGAACUUGUUCCCUACUUAGAAAAUAAAGGCAGUGGUGUAUAUGCUUGGAUUGGUGCAGGCAGGGAUUCGGAUUCUCGUUUAUUAGAUUUGUGUACAAGAUUUUUAAUGCAUAGGGAUUCACUGGGGCCAUCUUAUAUUUCAUCUGGUGUAGUUUCUGUAAAACAAAUAUCACAAUUAUCGACGUCAAGUAAUAAUAAUAAUAACAAUGGAAACAGUACAACCAAUGGAAAUACUAGAAGUGGAAGCCCUGCAGUAGAAUCAAUUAAUAUCGAUACGAGUUCUCUUGGAUCUAUUACAGAAUGGGAACCACCACGAGCAUUAUGGCCUACAGAAUGGAAAGUCCGACCAUCUACAAUCGAAGAACGUGAAGAAUUUAGAAGACAAGAACGAAUGCGCUAUGCAGCACCUCAUAAAGCAUUUACUUAUCGCAUGCAUGGAUAUGCAUCUGUAGUAGGACCUGUCAAAGGCAUUUAUCAACAUAAUGUUGGAUCUGGAUUAACUAAACCACGAGGGCAUUCUUUAUUAGUAGCCGACCGACCAAAUUUUGUAACAAUCUUAGCGUUGGUCAGAGAUGCUACAGCUCGAUUACCAAAUGGUGAAGGAACUCGUGCUGACAUAUGUCAAUUAUUAAAAGAUUCUCAAUACAUAAGAGAACAAGGCGAGAGCGAUGAUAAAGAAGGGUAUUUACAUUCAGUUGUGUCAGGUGCUUUGGACAGAUUGCAUUAUGAAACAGAUCCAUGCGUUAGAUAUUACCCUCGGCGAAAAGAGUGGCUAUAUCUUCAUAGAGCUCGUUCAGAAUCAGAAUUUGAAAUGUAUCAUCAACAGCUACAAGGUGUAGCAAAAAAUAAAAAAAACGUAGGAAGUACGUCACGAAAUAAAUUAUUACAACCAUCUAUUAAACCUAUUGUACAUAAGGAACAAUCUCCUAAUAGCAGCAAAGAAACUACACCCAAAAAAGAAAGGCGCGCUGUUACUGUGGUACAACCAGUUAUAACUCGAAAAGAGCAACGUAAAACUGACGAAAAAAUUACUGUUGACCAUCCAACUUCUUCCGAACAAUCGGUUGUUAAUACAACGACAGUAACAACAAUUAAUGCACCAACAUCAGCCAUUUCUACCGCUACUGGUACUACCAUUUCUGUAACUACACUUCCAAGCUCUUCUACAUUAACUACGACAGCUAACAUAGAAAGAAAUAAUAUCGUUUCUGAAGUUAAAACUUUAACAACGUCAAAUGCAAUUAAAAAAGUAACUAAUAUAGGAGGGAAACCAGUGGCUGUAGUAAAAACUAACGCAGCACAAAGUUUAUUGCAGUCAAGUCAACAGCAUUUUCCUCAUCAUCAAAUACAAGUGUCCACAUCUGCGGGACUGCAAACUAUAAGAUUGUCAGGGCAUUCUGUACUUCAUUCUGCUCAACCUACUUCAACAAGUACUAGUUCUUGUAUAGGAAGCACUACCACAAACUUAGCAACAAUAUUUCCUAAUGCUAAAGUUCAAAGUCAACAACAGCAACAAACUGUAGUAACGAGUCAAACUGGGAAAAGUAUUUUGCAAACUUCUAAUAUAAAACAACAAUCUCAACAACCACACGUAUUGCCUGGUAAAACAUUACUGGCAUCUCAAAUAAAAUUAGUCAGUUCAGGACAAAUAAAAUCAUUACUCACAGGACAUGGCCUUCAAGGUCAAACGAUAUUCAUUAAACAAUCAUCUCCAUCCAAUAAUCAGUCUCAACAAUUACAACAACAACAACAAUUAAAGCAGCAGCAGCAGCAGCAGCAGCAGCAGCAACAGCAACAGCAACAACAGCAACAACAACAACAGCAACAACAACAACAGCAACAGCAGCAGCAACAACAGCAGCAACAGCAACAACUACAAAGAGUCGUAACUAACCAACAACAGAUACAGACAUCAGGAAUGCAACGUAUAAUUGCACAAAUCAGCGGUAAACCGAUUGCUGUGCAAAUACAACAAUCUCCGCAUCAAUCACAACAGCAACAGCAACAACAAAAAAUAUUGGCGAAGGUUUUAACUAGUACAGGUGGAGGACAACUUAUCUCAGUAGAAAGUUUACUUGCACAAAAGGGAUUAAAACUAGCAACCAAUGCUACUCAUACUAACCAAGUAAAUAGACAAGGCAAACAAGUCAUACAAACUCAGUACCAGGUGGUGUCACAGAAUCAAACAUCUUCGGCACAAUCGAAAAUUAUUGCUAGUACACAUCAACAAUCUCAAUCGCCUCAAACUCAGACAGUCAGAAUGGUCACAGCACAAAUUGCUGGAAAACCUAUUGUCCUGGCAAGUGGAAAUAAGAGUGUUGGCGUUGGAGUAAGUGGGAGUGGAAAUGUAGUUCUUGGAAAACAGCAGAACCCACAACAACAACAAAGUCAACAGCAACCAAUAAUUCUACCAAGUCAGUUGCUAAAUAUUAAAACGUUACAUGGUCUCAAGGUGAUACCAACGCCUACAGGACUGAAGACAACAGGCGCUGCAGUUUAUGCUAGGGUUAUCGCGCCGACAACGAUCUCUUCGACUCAGUCGACAGUAAAUCAACAGCAACAGCAGCAACAACAACAACAACAACAACAACAACAACAACAACAACAACAACAGCAACAACAACAACAACAACAACCUGCUCAAACACAACCAUCAAAGAACAAUUCACAUAGCACACCUUGACAAAAUUAAUAUGAUAAAUGUUGUGGUAGAGGCAAUGUUUUUGCGAAGUCAAUCAUCCAUAUACCGGCACUUGUAACGUCAUGUACAAACAAUAAGCUCGAACCAACAACUUCAUGUGAAGCAAAAAAUGGGGAUGCCUUUAGCGUCGUUCGUAUAGCUUUAAGGCGUUGUAAAUAUUUUGGAACUACGUGUACAUAACCUUCAACAAAACGCUUAAGAGCUUCUGUAACCUAAGGAUAUUUGUAUUAUAUUAAUAUAAUACUUACCCAUGGAUAUCGUUGUUUUUUAUAUAUUUGAAAGAAUGGAGCCCAGUGUACAACAUUUCUCAGUUUUUUCCAACCAGAUGUCUAUAACAAAUACAUAAUUAUAUUAAAAUGGAUAUAACUAAUAUGAAAAAAUGCGAUCAGAGUAUACAUCUUCAACUAUAUUUAUAGUUAAUUAUACUUACUCGUAAAGACUUAACUGGUUGAAGUUCUUCAGAGAUAUCACAGUCAUCUCCACUUAAACUGGAGGUAGUUGAACAGUCUGAUACUUUACGUACAAAUGGAACAUCUAAUAAUUCAACUUUUGAUUGGUCUUUUAGUUCAGAAGAAUUAUCAUCUGUAUAUUCAAGAACUGGAGAAUCAAAUUUACUGUAAUAUGGACCAGUAGUCUCCACACAUGAAUUUCUUCUGUUCCCAGCUUCAUGUAAAUUCCUGAAACAAGCACAAACAACAGGAAUCAGAAUGUCGACGAAGACGGCAAACUUGAAGGAACUUUAAAUUUAAAGACUCUUGUAUCUCAUCACAAUCCAGACAAGAACAACUACUGGCUUGACUUGGACUGCCACUCGUUCCAUCAUAUUUUUCGACAUCAAGAUUGGUUCUCUCAAAAUUUUCAUCUAAGUAAGAAUAAUCCGAAUAAUCGCUAACAACCACACUUGGUGUUCUCCAAUAUCUUGGUCGUCCUUCAGUAGAUUCACAUUCGCUACUUU